rnacentral:rRNA from 1 species
GUGGGAACAUACCCUUUGGUUUGGAAUAACUCAGGGAAACUUGAGCUAAUACCGGAUAAGCCCUUGGUUUAGCGACCUUGGGGAAAGAUUUAUCGCCGAAGGAUUGGCCCGCGUCCGAUUAGCUAGCUGGUGAGGUAAUGGCUCACCAAGGCGACGAUCGGUAGCUGGUCUGAGAGGAUGAUCAGCCACAUUGGGACUGAGACACGGCCCAAACUCCUACGGGAGGCAGCAGUGGGGAAUAUUGGACAAUGGGCGCAAGCCUGAUCCAGCCAUGCCGCGUGAGUGAUGACGGCCCUAGGGUUGUAAAGCUCUUUCACCCACGACGAUAAUGACGGUAGUGGGAGAAGAAGCCCCGGCUAACUUCGUGCCAGCAGCCGCGGUAAUACGAAGGGGGCUAGCGUUGUUCGGAUUUACUGGGCGUAAAGCGCGCGUAGGCGGAUCUUUAAGUCAGGGGUGAAAUGCCGGAGCUCAACUUCGGAACUGCCUUUGAUACUGGAGAUCUUGAGUUCGGGAGAGGUGAGUGGAACUGCGAGUGUAGAGGUGAAAUUCGUAGAUAUUCGCAAGAACACCAGUGGCGAAGGCGGCUCACUGGCCCGAUACUGACGCUGAGGCGCGAAAGCGUGGGGAGCAAACAGGAUUAGAUACCCU